rnacentral:tRNA from 1 species
GCUCCUGUAGUUCAAUGGAUAGAACAGGGGUUUCCUAAACCUCAGAUGGAGGUUCAAUUCCUCCCGGGAGCA